ACAAACAUUUCGAACAACAACUGGAAAUCGCUCGCAGUGCACGGGCGUAAAUCCUCAAAAUAAAUCAGAGUCGAGAAGCCAUAGUGCCGCCGUCAGCCUUGUGAAAUAUGCUGCCUGUCCGCAAAUAAGUUAUUGAGGCAAUUAAUAAAUACUACGGGAGCAGAGGCGGGUGGUACUGUGACAAGAGGGAGUUUGUUACGAUUUCACCAGAAACAGUCACUCUAGUUUAGGCACCCCUAGAGAAGGGGGGGAGGGGGACGUCUGACGAUGAAAGAUGACCUCACCGCACCGUGAUUAACGACCGAGCCAUUCAUCAUGCAGCCUACUAAGUACACAAGAAAACGUUCCAGACCAUACUUGUCUGAAAUAGAGUACGUUUUCUGUUGAACGAAAGUGGCGCGGUAACAUGUACUAAUUUAUAAAAUCGACUGUGGUAGUUUUUAUUGUGAUGGAAUAAAGUGUUAUAUGCGUUGA